AUUGAACGCUGGCGGCAUGCCUUACACAUGCAAGUCGAACGGUAACGGGUCCUUCGGGUUGCCGACGAGUGGCGAACGGGUGAGUAAUAUAUCGGAACGUGCCCAGUAGUGGGGGAUAACUGCUCGAAAGAGCAGCUAAUACCGCAUACGACCUGAGGGUGAAAGGGGGGGAUCGCAAGACCUCUCGCUCUUGGAGCGGCCGAUAUCAGAUUAGCUAGUUGGUGGGGUAAAGGCCUACCAAGGCAACGAUCUGUAGUUGGUCUGAGAGGACGACCAGCCACACUGGGACUGAGACACGGCCCAGACUCCUACGGGAGGCAGCAGUGGGGAAUUUUGGACAAUGGGCGCAAGCCUGAUCCAGCAAUGCCGCGUGCAGGAAGAAGGCCUUCGGGUUGUAAACUGCUUUUGUCAGGGAAGAAAUCUUCUGGGCUAAUACCCCGGGAGGAUGACGGUACCUGAAGAAUAAGCACCGGCUAACUACGUG
rnacentral:rRNA from 1 species